CAUAUAGAGCGUUCUAUAUACUGAGAGUGCAGUUCUAAGUUCUAUGCGUGGAUUCAACGAAGAAUUAAUAAGCUAGUGAAUUUAGGUUAUAAAUUCUUGAUCUCCUUAUUGGAAGCUUGUAUAUAUAGACCCAUGGUCCCCCCACUAGUUGAGACAAUAUUACUUGUAAGACUCAUUUAAUUGGUUUUGAUUAAUCAAUUAUAAUUCUCAAAUUAGACUAUGUCUAUUUGUGAAUUUUUUCACUAAGUAAGGGCGAAAUUGUAAAGAAAGAGUUUUUAGGGCAUAUUUGUUAAUUAAGAUACUUUGUAUGGUCCAAUUAAUAAAUAUGAUAAAUGACAAUAUUAUUUAAUAAUUAUUUAUAGUUAUUAAAUAGUUAGAAUUGGCAUUUAAAUGGUUGAAUUUGAAAAUUGGCGUUUUUGAGAAAAUGAGCUGUAGAAAUGAUAAAACAGCAAAAUUGCAAAAGUGAGGCCCAAAUCCACUAAGCCAUGGCCGACCACCUUUGUAGGUUUUAUCACUUGAUAUUUUCAUUAUUUUAAUGCCAAAUAAUUUAAACCUAACCCUAUGUGGCAUGCUAUAAAUAAAUAGUGAUGGCUUCAGGAAAAAUAGACUUUCACAUCUUGUUUCCUUCAGAGAAAAUCCUGGGCCUUCUCUCUAUACCUAGCCGCCACCUUCCACUCCUUCUUCUUCCUUGAAUAUUUCGAACCUCUUAGUGAUAGAGUAGUGCCCAAACACAGCAAGUAGUACCUCAAUCAUAGUGAGGAAGAUCGUGAAGAAAGACAUUAAACAAGAAGGAGAUUCAGCAUCAAAGGAAGGAGAGAAAGAGAUCCAGGUUCAGAUCUUGAUAAUACUCUGCGACAUAAGGGAUACAAGGGUUAGAGAUCUGAAUGGAAGGAGACAUAUUAUUCCGCUGCACCCAAUGUAAGGUUUCUCAUACUUUAUAUGUGUUUAAUUUUAUAAUUGUUUUAGAAGUUCAUAUUUAGGGUGUUAAUCAACAUACUUGUGAGUAGAUCUAAGAUCCUGGUAAAAUAAUGAAACAUAUAUAUGGCAUUUAUGUUUGGGUCACAUAGGCUAUGACAGACUAAAUAGGCUAACCAAUGACGGUCCAUUGAAAAAUGUCGUCUUAGGUGAAUUACCUGUUUGUGAGUCUUGCCUAGAAGGAAAGAUGACCAAACGUUCUUUCUCUGCAAAGGGAGAGCGUGCCAAACAACCCCUAGGGUUAGUGCAUUCAGAUGUUUGCGGACCCCUGAAUGUAAAAGCCCGAGGUGGUUAUGAGUACUUUGUCACUUUCAUUGACGAUUCCUCUAGAUAUGGUCAUAUUUACCUUAUGCAUAAGAAAUCUGAAACAUUUGAAAAGUUUCAGGAAUUUCAAGCAUUGGCUCAAAACCAAUUGGGUAAAACGUUAAAGAUCUUGCGAACUGAUAGGGGUGGAGAAUAUAUGGAUAUGCAGUUUAAAGAUCAUUUGAUCGAACUUGGCAUUGAAUCCCAAUUAACUGCCCCUAGCACUCCACAGAAAAAUGCAGUUGCAGAAAGAAGGAAUCGCACGCUUUUGGAAAUGGUUAGCUCCAAGCUUAGUUACUCAACUCUACCUACGUCCUUCUGGGGAUAUGCAAUUCAGAUGGCAACCGACAUUUUAAAUGUUGUUCCAUCUAAAUCAAUCCCUAAGACACCUUUAAAACUAUGGAAUGGUCGUACACCUAGCUUACGCCAUUAUAGAAUCUGGGGGUGCCCUGCUCAUGUCUUAAGAAAGAAAGAUGGCAAACUUGAAAAGCGAACUGAAGUUUGCAUGUUUGUCAGGAAUUCUAAAGAGACUAGGGGUGGACUAUUCUAUAGUCGCAAGGAUGAUAAAGUGUUUGUUUCCACAAACGCCACUUUCCUUGAAGAUGACUAUAUUAAGAAUUUCAAACCACAAAGUAAAGUAGUAUUGGAGGAAAUGCUUUCAGAUAUAACUCCUUCCAAUGUUUCGUCCUCUUCCACUCAAGAAGAGGAUAAUCCCACUCCCUCAGUCAAACCAACUGAGAAAACUACUACCAAAGUUCCUGUUUAGAAGAUCACCGCUCCUCGUCGUAGUGGGAGGGUUUCAACAAAACCAGCUCGUUAUGGCUUGGAUGGUGAAAUCAAUAUGGUCGUUGGUGACGGUAUUGAUGACGACGCACUAUAAACAUGCAAUGGCAAGUCCGCAACGGAAACGAUGGUCAGCCGGCAUGGAUUCAGAAAUGGAUUCCAUGAAAAAGAACAAAGUCUGGGAAUAUGUAGACGCACCCGAUGACUAUCGUCCAAUCGGAUGUAAGUGGGUUUACAAGAAGAAAGGCGCUGGAGGCGAAGUCGAAACUUUUAAAGCUAGACUUGUUGCCAAGGGUUAUACCCAAAGAGAAGGUGUGGACUAUGAGGAAACUUUUAGUCUUGUUGCCAUGCUCAAAUCCAUCUGAAUUCUUCUCUCCAUAGCUGCCGCUUUCGAUUAUGAAAUCUGGCAAAUGGAUGUCAAGACUGCCUUCCUUAAUGGGGUACUUGAAGAAAACCAUCUAUAUGGAGCAACCAGAAGGCUAUGUUCUUUCAGGGCAGGAAAAGAAAGUUUGUGAAUUAAAUAAGUUUAUCUAUGGACUUAAGCAAGCUUCUCGCUCAUGGAAUAAAAGGUUUGAUGAAAUCAUCAAGACCCACGACUUUCUUCAGAAUAAAGAUGAACCUUGUGUUUACCAACUCAAGGAAGACCAAGUAGUAGUAUUCCUAUUCCUUUAUGUUGACGACAUUUUGAUUAUUGGAAACAAUAUCAAGAAAAUGACUAACAUCAAGGAAUUGCUUAACACUCAAUUCGAUAUGAAAGAUUUGGGUGAGGCAGCCUAUGUUCUUGGUAUUCAGAUUAUCAGAAACCGGAAGAACAGAUCUCUUGCUCUCUCUCAAACAACCAACAUUGACAAAGUUUUAGAGAGGUUCUCCAUGAACAACACCAAUGGGGUGAACAUGCCUUCUAGAUAUGGUAUUUGUCUAUCUAAGGAACAGUCUCCUACUGAUACUCAAGAGAUAGAGGACAUGGCGAAAAUUCCUUAUGCUUCUGCAGUUGGAAGUCUAAUGUAUGCAAUGUUAUGCACUAGACCUGACAUCUGCUAUGCAGUUGGAAUCGUGAGCAGGUAUCAAUCAAAUCCAAGUCAGGAACAUUGGAAUGCAGUUAAGUAUAUUCUGAAAUACUUAAAGAGUACAAGAAAUCUUGUGUUAGUCUACAAGGGUGGUGCUUUAAAUCCCAUAGGCUAUACCGAUUCAGAUUUCCAGGCAUGUCUUGAAGACAGGAAAUCUACAUCUUGGAUGGUGUUUACUCUUGGGGGUGGAACAGUGGUUUGGAGAAGUGCUAAACAAACCGCGAUAUCAGACUCUACGAUGGAAGCAGAAUACAUAGCUGCAGCAGAAGCUGCUACAGAGCUUGUUUGGGUGAGAAAUUUCUUCACCAGUAUCAGUGUCGUACCUGGUAUGGAAAAACCUCUUGUCCUACUUUGUGAUAACAAUGGAGCAAUAGCCAACAGUAAGGAACCUCGAAGCCACAAGAGAAGCAAACACAUAGAAAGGAAAUAUCACAUCAUCAGAGAAUAUGUGGUAAGAGGGGAUGUACUAGUUGAGAAAGUGGACACAGAAGACAACUUAGCUGAUCCAUUCACCAAAGUCUUGGCAGUAACUGCAUUUGAAACGCGCCGUCAGAAUUUAGGAUUAAUUGAUAUGUACUGAUUAGUUUUAUAUUAGUGCAAGGGGGAGUUUGUUGGGUUUCAUGCCCUAAAAAAAACUCCAUUUCAAUGUAAUCCAUUUUAUUCAAUAUCAAUAAAGAAACAGAAGUAUUUUUCAUUCAUUUGUAUGUUUUGGUUCAUGUUAUCAAUUGCUUGUCUAUUUGAUUUACUGAUAUGAUAAUCUACAACAGAGUUUACUUGCAUUUGGUAAAAUGCUAUGUUCUUUCCAAAGCAUUGGUUAAAGUAAAGCUUGGGUUGGGUGCAUGGAGUAUAUCGGAAGGGACCGAUAUUGAACUUGGACAUAGAUUUAUUAAACUUACCGCAAUAUCUAUUCAAGUCAAUAUCGCCUAGUUGAUCUUAGAUCAAAUGAUCUCAAUCUUGAUAUGAUUAGGCUCAAUCUCAAGAGUGUUAUUCGUGUUCCUUGAUUUGUUAGUUAAGCCUACUUUUGGGUCACGGUGAUACGUACAUUUUGGGAACACGGUAGUGCAAUUGAGUGGGAGCUUAACGAAACGAAAAUAAAUGGUGGAGUACUCAUUUCACAUAGCUGAAAUAUCAUUUAUACGGGGUUAAGUGUUAUAAGGAUAAAAUACAUUGUAGGGUGUCACGGUAAUUUAAUCCCCUUACAGUGUAGAUCAUCUAUAUAGAGGAUCAUUGAUCAAAUUAUGAUUAUAACAAUGGAUAACUAAUGAUGUGUCUAUAUGGUGGAACAUAUAGAGCGUUCUAUAUACUGAGAGUGCAGUUCUAAGUUCUAUGCAUAGAUUCAACGAAGAAUUAAUAAGUCAGUGAAUUUAGGUUAUAAAUUCUUGAUCUGCUUAUUGGAAGCUCGGAUAUAUAGACCCAUGGUCCCCCCCACUAGUUGAGACAAUAUUACUUGUAAGACUCAUUUAAUUGGUUUUGAUUAAUCAAUUAUAAUCCUCAAAUUAGACUAUGUCUAUUUGUGAAUUUUUUCACUAAGUAAGGGAGAAAUUGUAAAGAAAAAGUUUUUAGGGCAUAUUUGUUAAUUAAGAGACUUUGUAUGGUCCAAUUAAUAAAUAUGAUAAAUGACAAUAUUAUUUAAUAAUUAUUUAUAGUUAUUAAAUAGUUAGAAUUGGCAUUUAAAUGGUUGAAUUUGAGAAAUGGCGUUUUUUGAGAAAAUGAGAUGUAGAAAUGAUAAAACAUCAAAAUUGCAAAAGUGAGGCCCAAAUCCACUAAGCCAUGGCCGGCCACCUUUGUAGGUUUUAUCACUUGAUAUUUUCAUUAUUUUAAUGUCAAAUAAUUCAAACCUAACCCUAUGUGGCAUGCUAUAAAUAAAUAGUGAUGGCUUCAGGAAAAAUAGACUUUCAAUCUUGUUUCCUUCAGAGAAAAUCCUGAGCCUUCUCUCUAUACCUAGCCGCCACCUUCCACUCCUUCUUCUUCCUUGAAUAUUUCGAACCUCUUAGUGAGAGAGUAGUGCCCACACAGAGCAAGUAGUACCUCAAUCAUAGUGAGGAAGAUCGUGAAGAAAGACAUUCAACAAGAAGGAGAUUCAGCAUCAAAGGAAGGAGAAAAAGAGAUCCAGGUUCAGAUCUUGAUAAUACUCUGCGACAAAAAGGAUACAGGGGUUAGAGAUCUUAACGGAAGGAGGCAUAUUAUUCCGCUGCACCCAAUGUAAGGUUUCUCAUACUUUAUAUGCGUUUAAUUUUAUAAUCGUUUUAGAAGUUCAUAUUUAGGGUGUUAAUCAACAUACUUGUGAGUAGAUCUAAGAUCCUGGUAAAAUAAUUUCCAACAUGAUCUUGGCAGACACAUGACCUGCCAGGUGCUACAGGCCUUGGGCGGCCAAACCUCCCCUGUAGGUCUAUGGGCAGUCAAGAUUAACCUGGUAGGACUCUAUGUAUAGCCCAAAACAUGGACAUCAAAUUAUGGGUUACAAAUUUGGCCUUAAAAGCUUAGCAGAAUGACUAAAAUUGUAUCAAGAUUCAAGGCUAUUUUAGUCUUUGGUAAUUAUCUAACAAACUAUGCAAAUACCUAGGGAUUUAAACUGUAACCUAGGAUUUUAGUCCUCCUAUAUAAAGGUGUCGUAACCUUAGCCUAGAAAAUGUAAGUGACUAAACCUUCACCUAGCCUCCAAAUCACUCUAAGUCCGAAAACCCUAUCCUCUCUUAUAGAUUGAGAGUCUGAAGACAUAAACUUCAAUGGAGUGGUCUUCAAAUCAGACAAACCAAAAUCAACAAAAGCAAAAUUUCAAUGUCGACGCACGCUUUUUCUUGUCACAAAGAGGAGUACAAGGAAGAGUGUCGUCUUCUUCUUCUUUAGAAACAUUGACAUCUAUUUUUCAACUUCCUCAUUAGGAAGGGAAGCAGGAACAUUAAUAAAAGGAAAGAUAAAAAGUUUUCAGUGUGACAUUUUUACAACUUAACCUUACAAAUAAAAGUUACAUGUUUUGGGAUCCCAAAAAAAUCAUUUUACAAAGUAGUACAAUUUUCCCCUUAGCCGACCUAAGCAUCAAAACAGAGUUACAAAAAGUUUCAACACUGGUAAACCCCAACCUUCUUGGUAUAGUAUGGCCCCAACAUGUACAUUCAUCGCCCAGCUCCCACACUCAUGGCUGAUUUGAAAUAGACUUACCCUUUCUUGCACAGUAGAGCACCCGUGAGCCAAGCCCAGCAAGACAGUAAAAUAUAUCGAUGAUCAUAAUUAACACAUCACAUAAAUAUUAAUGCCAUUUCAUAUUUUUCUAUAUGACACAGACCCGCGUGUUACACUCACAUGCCUACUUAUGUCUAUAUAACAUAGACCUACGUGUUACGCUCACACGUCUAUAUACAAUAAGGCCUUAGAACGGUUCAUCUUGGUUCUAGUUACCGAGUCCAACCCUAUUAUGCCUUGAAUACAUAACCUUUAAUUUCAGUAUACAUCUAUAUACAUCAUGGCAUAACAAUCACAUAUUAAUAAUUUACUAGGGUAAUAACCCUAAGCCAAUAAACCGCUCACUUUUAGAGUAAUGACUCUAAUCCCGGUUUCUAGUUUCUUAUAUCUACCAUAUUCCAUAUAAGCGCCAUUGCGCAUAUCUCUACGUGCUAACUACUGUCUUACCUGAUGUCCCGCAAAUAUGGAGAUUCCAAAUCCCCCAGUGCUCCUGACCAAGUGCCGGUAAUCCUAGUCACAAUUCUGAGAUACACAAGUAUAGGGUUAAUCCCUAAAUCCAUUUCCACAAAUUAUGAACUUUGCAUUUAAAUUCUAUAUAUUCACAUAGAGCUCAGAAAGAGCUUUCCAACGAUAUAAAGAACAUCCCAAACGGAGUCCCGAGUCAAAAGUUAUGACCAAAACAAAAACCAAAAAAAAAAAAAACACAAUAUGCUGCUAUAAAAUGGUCGCGGCUACUGGGUUUAAAAACCCAGGAAACCCAGUUUCCAGCCACAAAAAAUGCAUCCAAUAAUACCAAUUUUCAUGCUAUAUCAACCCACAAUCAUACCCAACUUUCACCAAGUAAUUAGAGAGGAAUUACCCCUAAUUCACUCUCCAACAACACCAAAAACCAGAAACUAAAAAUUAGCAUUCAACAAUGAAUUUCAACCCCUAAAUGUUGGGCUUUGUGCUCUAAAUAAAACUCUAUUUCAAUGUAACCUUUUCUAUUCAGUUAUCAACAAAGAAACAGAAUUAUUUUCAUUACUUGUUUAGUAUGUCAUUUGCUUCAUGUGAUCAUUUAUAUGUUUAUUUGAUUUAUAAAUUCAUCCAAAUCCUUAUCACAUUGAUAUUCUUAUUUAUUGUGUCGUCAGCACAGUGGAAAGUAAUCAAGAUUAUGUGAAUAAAUGUAUUCCUAGAUUUAUCAGUACACAGGGUUUAACUGAUAUGAUAAUCUACAACAUAGUUUACUUGUACCUUGGGUAAGUGUUAUGUCCUUCCCAAGGUAUUGGUUAAAGUAAAGCUUGGGUUGGAUGCAUGGAGUAUGCAUCGGAAGGGACCGAUAUUGAACUUGGAUUAGAUAUCAUAAAUUUACCAUAAUAUCUAUUCAAUUCAAUAUCACCUAGUUGAUCCUAUAUCAAAUGAUCUUAAUCCUGACAUGGUUAGGUUCGAUCUCAACAGUGUUAGUUGUGUUCUUUGUUUGUUAGUUAAGCCUGCCUUUUGGUCUGGGUGAUACGUACAUUUUGGGAACAUGAUAGUAAAAUUGAGUGGGAGCGAUAAUCAUAGAUAUAGAAUCUAUAGCUUCUAUCUGGACAUAGAUGUGAAACGAUGAUUUCCUUCGAGCUUGGCUAAACAGAUAUAAAUGGUUGAGUACACAUUUCAGUGAUUAUAUUAGUGUUGGGUUUUGUGCCCUAAAUAAAACCCAUUACAAUCUGAUUAGUUAUCAAUUUAAAAAAUUAGAAGUGAUUUAUGUUUGCAUGAGUUUUACAUGCUUAUGGUUUAAUAUGUUUAAUAUAUGCACAAAAUCUGUUAAGUCCAGAACAUAUAUUUAUUCACAAUUGCAGUAUUGUCAACACAGUGGAAUGUGAUUGUGAUUAUAUGAUUCAAAAGACUAAGUCCAUGUUUCAUCAGUGUUUUGGAUUUACACUGAUGUGAUAAUCAGCGAUGAUGUGUACUCACACUUGGAGUAAGUGUUAUGUUCUUUCCAGGACAUUGGUAAAGUAUACUAGUUUCGAAUGUAUGGAGUAUACAUUGGACUGGACCGAUAUUGAACUUAGUUAAGAUAUUUUAAACUUACCGUUGUAUCUUUCCAAGUCAAUAUCAGUAGUUGAUCUUAGAUUAUAAGAAUCUAAAUCCUGAUAUGCUUAGGCUCAACUUAAGAGUGCUAUUCAUGUUCUUUGAUUUAUUAGUUAAGCCUACUUUCGGGUCAGGGUGAUACAUAUAUUUUGGGAACAUGAUAGUAUGAUUGAGUGGGAGCGCUAAACAUAAAUAUGGAAUCUAUAGCUUCUACUGGUGUAUAGAAGUCAAGUGAUGAUUCCCUUCGAGCUUAGCUAAAUAGAAGUAAAUGGAUGAGCUCUUGUUUUAGUGACUAAUUAAUAGAUCACUCAAACAUCAUUUACAGAUAGCUAAGUGUUUUAAUGGGCCAAAUACAUUGAGGGGUGAAAACGGUAAAAUUAUCCCAUCUCGAUGUAAAUCAUCUAUAUAAAGGAUCUUUAAUCACAUUAAGAUUAUAACAAUAGUUAAAUGAGAUAGCAUAUCUAUAUCGUGAAACAUAUAGAAUGCUCUAUAUAAGUCUGAGAGUGCAAUUCUAAGUUCUAAGAGUGGAUUCAACGAGGAAUCAAUAAGUAGGGAUUUCCUUGGUAAAUUCGGUUCACUUAUUGGAAGCUCAGCAUAUAGAUCCAUGGUCCCCAUUCUAGUUGAGACAAUACUACUUGUAAGACUCAAUAAUUGGUUUAUAAUUAAUCAAUUAUAAUUCUAAAGUUAGACUAUGUCUAAUUUGUGAAUUUUCACUAAGCAGUUGUGAAAUUGUAAAGAAAAGAGAUUCUAGGUUUAUUUAUUAAUUAAGAGACUCUAUAUGUCUAAUUAAUAAUUAUAUUAAAUGACAAUAUUAUUUAAUAAUCUAUUUUAGUUAUUAAAUAGUUAGUUUUGGCAUUUAAAUGGUUAGAAUUGGAAAUUGGCGUUUUUGAGAAAAUAGAAAUAAAAAUUGUGAAAACUGCAAAAUCCAAGUGAGGCCCAUUAACACCUAUGGCCGGCCACUUGGUUAGUUUUUUCCAAUUAUUAUUUUCAUUAUUUUAAUGCCAAAUAAUUACUAACCUAAACCUAUUAGUUGCCUAUAAAUAGAAAGUGAUGGCUCAGUCAAAAUAACAAGUUUUUCAAGCUUUUUGUCAGAAAAUCAAAGAUUGCCUUUUUUCAGAAAAAUUGAGCCUUCCACUUUCUCUCUCUAUAGCCGACCCUACCUCUCUCUCUUUUCCUCUUCACAAUUUCGAAACCCCCUAGUGAUUGAGUAGUGCCCACACACAGCAAGUGGUACCUCAAUCAUAGAUUGCAAGACUGUGAAGGAUCACACACAAAGAGAAGGACAUUCGGGCUCAGAUCUUGAUAAUACUCUGCGACAGAAAGGAUACAAGGGUUAGGGAUAUGAGUGGAAGGAGACAUUAUUCCGCUGCUAUCAAUUAUCCUGUAUAGCCAUGUCAAAUGCCAUGUUAUCACUCUUGACUGAAAAUAAACUAAAUGGAUCUAACUUCCCAAAAUGGAAUGAGAACAUUAAUAUUGCUCUCAUAGGAGAAAGUGCCUUGUUUGUGUUAACUGAGCUGUCUCCUGAACAGUCGGGUACCAAUGCAACCAAAGCUGUUAAAGAGAAGUUCGAGGGUUGGCAGAAUGCUAACAAUAAAGCUCGAUUCUUCAUGCUUUCCAGCAUGGUUGACACCCUUAAAACAAGGUUUGCAAAAACUGACACGGCUGCAGAAAUUAUGACGCAGUUAACUGAGCUAUUCGGUAAGGCAUCUAUUCAGUCUCGCUUUGACGCGACUAAGAAGUUCAUCAAUGCAUGGAUGGAACCCUAUCAGAAUGUGCGUGAUCAUGUUCUCCUAAUGGCAAGUUAUUUCCAGGAAGCCCAGAAUCAUGGUGCUGAAAUGGAUCACACUACUCAAGUAAGCCUUAUCUUGAAUAGUCUGACUCCAGCUUUUCUGCCCUAUACAUCAAAUUAUGUCAUGAAUAAAAAGGAAAUAGACUUUCAUGCGUUAGUCAAUGACCUUCAGACAUAUGAAAAUUUGAUUGGAGGACCCAAGAAGAAAGGGAGUAAACCUCACAAUUCUGGAAAUGGUAAUGGGACGGUUAAACCUGGGGCACAUGUAGCCUCUACUUCAAGACCCAAGACAAAGAAGAAGUGGAAAAAUACCAAAAAGCGAGCCAAAGAUGUGAAAACAAUUCAAAACAAAAAGGCUGCUGCUACUGGUGAUGCACUAAAAGGAAAGUGUUUCUACUGCAAUGAGAAAGGCCAUUGGAAACCCCAAUGUCCUAAACUUCUUGCAAAGAAACAAGCCCAAGCUGCUUGAACUCAGAUGCUAUCUUAGUGAGUUGGAUUGGAAAGCUGGACAAAGGGAUGAAGCUCAUUUAUUUAUUUAUUUAUUUUUGAAUUAAUUGUUUUAGUUUAAAAACAAUUUGGAUUUCAAAUUUUAGUUUGGGAUUUUUAUUCCCUAUUUUUCUCAUAAUGUUGCAAUAUAUUUUUUUUUAUUUAAUUUUAAUAAUAUUUUUUUUACAAAUAAAUUGCAAUUUAUGAGAUUGAGCUUCAUUUACUUUAUCUUCAACCAAAAUUACCAAUUAUAUUUAUAUGUUUAUAUGUGUAAGUGUUUUUUUUAUUAUUGGUACAAAUUCUAUAAUAUUUAAACAUCUUCAUAGAGUUAUUAUUACAUAAACACUAGAAAUUUUUUCUAUGUUUAUAAAUAAUUGUUAAUUCUAAAACAAUUAUUAAAGAAUUUUUUUAAUAAAAGGAUCUUUUGAUCUGAUAGGGGUGGAAAAAAGUUA